GUGUAGGCAGCGGAGCGGCUGCGGAGCGGCGGCGGCGGUGGCGUCGGGAGCCCCGGCCCCGCGAUAAAAGGGAAGGGGCCGGGCGGCGGGCGGCGCGCGUUGCGGCACUGGGGGGAGCGUGGCCGGGAAGGAGGGAGGGAGCGAAGGAGCCGCCUCCCGCAGGAAUCCCGGGCAGGCGGCAGUAGCAGCGGCGGCAGCCGGGACGCGCGGCUCCCCCUGCCUGCGCGGCGGCAGGAGGCGGGUGAGCAUCGAGGAGCAGCCGCCGCCUCAUCCUGCGGCAGCGGCCGGCGCUGCCCGGCGAGCGCAGGUGGCAGUGUAGAAGCCAAGAACAAAAAUUGGCAGAAAUUAUAUUCUGUAUACGAGAGAAUGAAGAGUAUACUCAUGACUAAGCACAGGAACCUGGAAAACCACAGGAUUCCUGGGAAGCCACGGAGGAUGGGGUGAACUCAGAGCUGGAGCAUGAGGAGUUCUUUGGAACUUGUGAAUGGUUCUAGGAAGGCUUUCUGUCUAAACCUUUAAAUUGCUUCUGAGAGAACAUGGUGAUCCCACAAAUGUUCACAGAUGACCAAGUCACCUUGUACAAAGUGAGAACACAUUUGCAGGCAGUUUAUUUCACUGACCAUCAUGUUGCUCAUCACUUACUUAUGUAUGGUGACCCGCUUAGGCAUAGCUGGGGUGGAUGAAGUGUGCAGAACUAAGGCAUGUAUGGCCACGUAAUUCUCAUUGUUAUCACUUAUUAAGCAAAACAGCUAAGCAGUUCAUCCAACUUAAAUGUGGCUAUUUACAAAGGCUUUGAAAUUUUUUUUUCUGAUGUAGUACAGGUCAGCAUAUGCUUGUGGCUUUGUCAAACACUGCUGAGUUCAUUAGUUUGUGCCGAUGUGUUGAGAACAGAAAAUGAAAAUGUUACGGGUACAAAAUUUUAAUGUGGUCUCCCAUUACAUCAAGUGUUUGCCAAAAUAUUAAAUAAAACUGUUAACUAAGCAACGUGCUGCUCAAGAGUUCAAUCUACAGACGCUUCUCUGUGCUAAUUAGGAAGUAUUGACAUCAAUGAAUGAAACUACUUGUUAAAGUGCCUUCUACAGUCUGUAGCAGUUAUGUGUUCAUGAGAUGAUUCAUAGCAUUCAGCAAGUUGUGAUGAGUUUCCCUGCCAUUACUGGAGAUUAUGAAGUAUCUACUGUAUUUGCACUACAUUUUUUUUAAAUUAAAUUUGAUGGUGGAAAGGGGAAGAAUUUUCUAUCAACUGAAAGAUCAGGCCUAUUUUCUGAAUUCAUUCAUUAUUUUUCUCUUUACUGUAUGGUGCAAUCUAUCAUUAACAAUAAAAUGAAAUGUUUAAUUGUUUUGUCCAUAAAUACAGCAGUGUGUGUAAAAACUCUCAGGACUUAUUUUGUUCUUGAAAAUUGUGUGCAUCAUGUCAAGUCUGCUAUAUUGUAUUAGUUGUAACUGAAAGAAGAGUUUUCAGUAAGAAACCUGAAUUUGACAUCUAAAACAGCAGAACCAGCACAGAAUACUCUCUGAUUGCGUGCAGGAUGUAUUCAUAGGUGCUACUCUUAUUAAGGGUACUGCAAAUGUUGCAUCUUAGAAAACUGUCCAGUGAUUGUUUUGAACUGAAAGCUGUGGCUGGUUGUGCAUGUUGUUGCCUUAAAACUGUGCAAGCCCCUCAAUGCACUCAGUCAUUUCACACUAAAACAACAAUGGGUAUAAUCUAUUGGACUACGAAGUAUCAUUGCUUCAAUGGCUUAAUGGCUUCAAGCUGCACCAGGGAAGAUUCAGGCUGGACAUUAGGAAAUACUACUUCUCUGAAAGGGUGGUCAGGCACUGGAAUGGGCUGCCCAGAGUGAUGGUUGAGUCACCGACCGUGGAGGUGUUCAAAGAGCGUUUGGAUGUUGUGUUGAGGGACAUAGUUUAGCAAGAACCAUUGGUGAUGAGUGAAGAAAUGGUUGGACUGGAUGAUCCUGUGGGUCUUUUCCAACCUUAGCAAUUCUAUGAUUCUAUGCUUGACUCUUAGCAGAAAUGUUUGUUAAUGUUUGUAUGUCUGAGGCCAUCUAGAUCUAGCUUAGGCACUUUGGCUAUUCAGAUUAAUGAGACUGAUGCCAGUUCUCCAGUUAGAAAAGGGUAGCAUUUUAUUAAUCUUGGUGUUAGUACCUGUUAAACCAAAGAUAUAGUUACAGCACUGGAAGAUACCAUUGUAGGCUAUUAUAACUUAAGGAGGCUCUUGUGAAAGUCACAACGUGUAUACAGUAAGUAUCCUUAGCUUGCAAAUGUGUGAAAUAAAGCUCCAGGCAUGUAGUCCUUCAGCUAUCUCUAGGUUGGAUGCCUCUGGACUUGUUAUACAAGUGUAUCUUAAUGUAGAAGGAUAUCAAAAUUUUAAAGAAGAAAUGAUCCUGAAAUUAUAUUUUGUAGAUGAGAUCUUUCUCUCAGGUGUUGGCCAGGUUUCUUUUUUCUCAAGAAUGUCCUUCCAUGGUGUUGAUCCUCAGUGAUAGUAGGAUAUUUCCUGUUGUGGUAAGAAGGUGCACUUAAGUGAAGUGCAAGUGGAUUUAUGAUGCUGGAAGGGAGCACAUCAUAACUUUCCAACUGCAUGCCAAACUGGUUGACAUCAAGAGAAGACUAGACUAUCUCAGUACCUUACAUGAGGAUGAGUGGAAAGAGCAUAUGGGUCAAGAAGAUGCAGCCUCUGGGUCUGGAAGUCCUUAACAUUGCUACGUGUAGGACACAAGUUGACAAAGAAUGAUGUAGGAAACAGUGUAGAAGUGCUUGAACAAAUUCAGUCUCAUAUAGAGAGGAGUCUGGAAGGAGGGAUGAUCAGAUUAAAAUAGAAGAGUUGCUAUGCAGCACCUAGAAGUCUAGAACCAGGUAUUUAGUCUCCAUUUUAUUUUUUGAAGCAAGUUAUUGAUGGUAUAGAUGUACAAGAGAUAAGCUAGCAGAAUGCACGUUAGGAUGUCUGAAAAAGCCUGGUAAGAGGACAAACCAAAAGAAUAAGAUGCUUGCAGCCAAUUUAAAAAAGUCAUUGAUCAGAGAUCCAGAACAAGUAAAUAUCCUGUAGCAACUUCUUCUCUGACUCUUUAAAAAAUUACAAACAAAAAAAAAUUAGCUUGGAUAAGCUGCAGAAUAGGCUAUAAGAAAUGUAUAUCCUUCAAAAACUUGUAUUGUCUGGUCAUUUCUGCCAUUGCCUCCUCCAAGAAAAGUAAUACAUGUGAAACUUGGCUGAAUUCAGAACAAAAUGCACAGUAAAAGCAGUGAAAGUCUAUGUGAUUUAUAAAACGUCAAGAAGCUUGUCAGAAGUCAUCUUUAAAAACAUUGGAAAGGAAAGAGCCAUUGAGCCAAUAGAUGACUGAGAUUUGUAGCGCUCAAAGAAGAUUGCACUGCAUCAGAGUUACUGAUGUGAGUUGUUCAUAUUUGCUGUGCUGGGGCACUGAAUUUGCCAAAGAUCUGUAUAUCUCCCAGUGUAAAAUGCUGAACUGGUGACUGCGAUGUUUAGUCUCACAGUAUUGCUUUGGUACCAGUGAAGCUGAGGUCAGCAAAUGUGAUGUCUGUUUUUAAGAAGGCUACCAGGAAACUUACAGGAAAGAACAGGACAAGUAUGACGUUCAUACCAUCUAAUUUGCUGCUGAUUAUAACGAAGAAGAGACGUAGUGGAUCCAUGGGCAAAUUUGUUCUAUCAGGAAAGAGUCAGCACUGUCUUUGUAGAGCUGCCUCAUCAGUCUGGGUUCUCCGAAAACACUGACAUUGUGAGUAAGCGUGAUCUAGCUGAUGCUGUAAGCUUGGGUUUCCAAAAGUUUUUUUGAGAAAGACUCACCUAUGGUGCUUAGCAAAAUGAAACUGCUAUGACAUAAGAGGAAAGUCCUCUCCUAGACUUACAACUAGUUGAAAAAUAGACUAGAAAUAAAUGAUACGGUCUCAUAGUGAAGACAGCAAAAAUAAAAGUCAACUAUGAAGAACCAAGGAGGGAUCUUGUGGUACUUGGUAACUAGGGAUGAAGCAGUAGAUGAAGCUGAUACUGGUAGGAUGAAGUAAUGUAUGCAGAGGACAGCAAUCCUACUAUUAUCUACUAAAGAAAUAAUAGUAGGAGAAGAGUAGAGAGCUUGCCUCAGUAAAUCCAAGCACCAAGUAAUUAUUCAGAACUGUUUUUUUCUUUUCUAAGUUACUAUGGGAGAAUAGCAGAGUGACAGAACAUAAAACUGCUUUGCCAGUUUGUAAACCCUGUGCUUUAUCUUGACCUCUGCAUGCAGUUCUGAUCCCCUGUAUUUAAAGAAAGGGGAGAAAAAAAGGGGCUUCGUAGUAAAAGUAGAAAUGGCUGGCAUGAUGAUAAGGAGCCAUUAAAUAGCUUAGUAAUAUUCAGCUUGACAAAGAAACAGCUGAAGGUGAAGAUGAUAAACAUUAUAUAGGAGUGUAAUGGAAAAGAUGAGUAGGGUAUACUCAUUAACCAUCUCCUGUAGUAUGAGACCCAGAGGGGAUAAAAUAAAAUUAUCAAUUGGCAGAUUGAGAACAAAACAAGAGGUUGUAUUUUUCUUGCAGUGAGUAGUUUAACUGUGAACCACUAGAAGUUCAGAUGAAUUUGGGCGUCCAGUGCAAAAGCACCAUUUUGUGCUUAAAAGAGCGCAAGCCGCAGUUUCUUGAGAGCAGGGAGGAUCCUGAGGUGCUUUUCCUGUUUGAAUGCGUUUCCCUGGACCUAUGUUCCCAACCUCUGUGAAAGAUGCAAUGUAGGGGAUAGGUGUAUCUUUGGUUUGACUGAAUACGGUGGUUAGUAUGUAAAACGAAGACUGAUAGCAGUCCCUUGAAGAAAACACUGACUGUAUGCCACUCCUGAUACACUGGGGACAUUUUCUUUAUUUUAUUGGGCCUAAUAACUUAACUGCUUUUAAGACUACUAGUCCUCAUUGUACCAAAUUGAUACUUCAAGUUUAGUGCCCAUACGAUGGAUGUAAUACCUCUGUUCUGAGGUGCCAAUAUUCAGUGCUUGCCUAAAGUAUACUGAGUGCUUAUUGAAGUUUAUCUUCAGAUCAAGUGAAUUAAAAACCUAACUGUGAAAAAUAAACUUUAAGUUGGAAGAACUGGAAGCAGGUUUACCUACAUAAUAAAAUGCUUAUCUAUAUAUUAAAAGGAAAAAUACGUUUUUUGAAUCAUAAAUAUAGAAUCAUAGAAUCUUUAGAGUUGGAAGGGACCUCUGAAGGCCAUCUAGUCCAACUCCCCUGCAAUGAACAGAGAAACCACAGCUAGAUCAGGUUGCCUAGGGCCUUAUUUAGCCUCACCUUGGAAGUCCCCGGGGACGGGGUAAAUAUGAAAGAUAAAUUCCCAUUUCCUAUUAAGAGGGUGAGAUUACAUCUAAGUUUUUGCCUUAUCCAAACAUUCAAGGGCUAAAGGUACAUUGCAGUGAAUAAGGACUUGGAGAAAAUAGGUUAUUAAGAACAAAGGAUAACUUGACUGUUAAAUGUGAAAAUUGCAUUUAAAUUUUAAAAGAAUGUAGGAGUUACAGAGGAAUUACUGAGUCAUGCAACUCAAAUGACAAAUGGAACUAGGGGAAAAAGAAUAACACGAUGAGUCUGGGAAGAAAAGUCUCCCAGUGCUGUGCCCUUUGAGCUUAUGUAAGAACAACCAGCAGAGUACUACGAGCUGUAAGGAGUUAGGGAAUGAGUGUUGGAGUAUAUUCAAAGGCUGACUUUAGCCAAGGAAGAUUGGUUGUUUUGGGUUCCUGUGGGCAGUCACAACAAAACAGCAUCUUCAGUAGGUGGUAUGGGGCACCCAAAGCCAUUUUCUAUUCUGCGUUAUCCUCUAGAGGAGCUUUUCUCUGUCCACAUGGGCCAUAGUUCAACAAGGGAGAUGCAGACUGUUGGUCUCACUGAGUUCAAGUUUCCCUUUACAUACAGCUAUUCUGUGUGUUAGCACAAGACCUAAUUUUUCUAGCUGUUUUAGUAGGUCAUUUUUCUUUUCCAGUGAUACUAGAAUAAAAAUACAUAGGAAGACAAUAGUAGCUAAGCCCAUUUUUAAAGCUUUAGUGAAGAAAAGGUUAUUUCAGACUUCCUAAAAUUCAGGUUGUCCUGCUGUUUUCUAUACUUGCAUGACAGGGUUGAGCCAUGUUAAAAAUAAGAAUAAAUGACUUAAAAAAAGAAAAGUAAAAUCAGAGAUUUUUAUGGAACAAACAGAUUAAAUACCACAGAGAGAUUAUAUGAAGUUUUUUUGAACUACCAAUGCUGGGUAAUAAAGCAUAUUUGGAUAAAGGGGUUAGUUAUGCAUCCCAUUAAACACCCUAAUACACUCUUGUUUCUCAACAAUGGGAGAAGAAUCAGUUUUCUCAUUAUCUCCUUGAACACUAGUUAGGAGUUUUCUAUCUAUUUAACAGUAGCAAAGCAUACUUCAAACUGUCUUUUUUUUUUUUUAACGUUUAUUUUGAUUUCCUAUAGCGGAAUAUGAUGCAAAACAAAUAAAACAUAAGAAAAAAUCUUAGUUCUGCCUCUCUUUGUUGAUUUAUGCAAUAAAGUAAUGAUGCUGAACCAGUGGCAGUCUGACAUUAAAAGAGAAUUUGUGCAGCAGUAAGACCAGACAUCCUAAAACAGAUUUUUAUUAGUGCUGUACUCUGGGAGUUAGACUUCCAAAUAAUUUAAAACUGUACUUUAAAAUGUAAGGCACGGUCUUAAGCAGAUAAGAGAACACACCAGCCAAGCUCACCUCUCAAGUAGUAUUUAUUCCAGUAGGCACUGGAAUGGCCUGCCCAGGGAGGUGGUGGAGUCACCAUCCCUUGCAGUGUUCAAGAGGUGUCUGGCUGAGGAGCUACAAGAUAUGGUUUAGUGGCUUGUGGUAGUAGUGGUAAUGGGAGGCCAGUUGGACUAGAUGAUUUUGUAGGUCCUUUCUGACCUUGUGAUUCUGUGAUUCAUCCCCGUGAUCCCAAUGUUAUCUCAGGAAGUAGAUACUUCUGUGCAUCUUUUAUUGCAUGAAAUCAGCUCUUUGGAAGCUACUCCAGUUGGAUUUUUCUGAUGCAAACUCCUCUGAGAUGACUGAGAAUGCUGCAUCAUUCAGUAUGGUGAAACAUCUGCAUAUGCACUAAACCUUUAUUCUUUUCUUUUAAAUGUCAGCUAGGCUUCAUGUUUUUCUACUUUUUUUCUUUUUAUUCUUUCUCCUUUUUUUGUUUUGGGGAUGGUGCUUGGCUCUGCAGUUAUACCUUAAUGCUUUUCAAAUAGUUGAUUGUAUUUGUUAGUUUUCAUCUGGAUAGUUCUUGCUGUUCGUGAUAGUUGAAGUGGUUGUGCGCUCUAUAAUAAAAAUAAUUCUGAAGUCAAAAUGAAAGUCACGUGCUGUCCUUGACUCAGAUUUCAGUUAUACAAAGACUGUGUUGCUCACAAAUGAAGCUGUAAACUCUUAGGAAACUGUAGAUAAAAUGGAAGCCAGAGCCCAAAGCAAAACUAAACAACUGCUUAUCAGGUCUCUGCUGAACCCUGUGGCUGGGGAUAGAUGUACUUCUGACAUCAUCUUCUGCAGCCUUGCGUCUUGCUGGUUCCUGAAAUGCAACUCUGCAAGUUUAAGGGGAUGAAAUUAUUGCAGAUCACUUUUUGUCCUUUUAGAUGUGCCUUCUCUUACAUUUUUUUUUCUCUGCUUUUUCCCCCAGCCCUACUUUGCAGUUUUACUGUUAAUCAUCAUCCAGAUGCCCACAUAUUAUACUUUAUUGUUUAUUUUGACUUAUCUCAUUGUUUCCUGAAACUUUUAAAUGUCAUCUCCCUCCUUCCUUCUCUCUACCCACAGGUAACUUCUAUUCCAGUGAAUAUUUAGUAGUGUAUGAAAGAUGUAGACAUAACAUUAACUCAAAUCUGGCCACUUUAGAAAGUUCAAAGAUGUUUUUAUUUCACGUGUUCAGUGAGAAAAGGUUGGGCUAACUAAAGUGGUAAUGUGCUGCAUCAGUUUUCUGGUGAGAAAUGCCUUAUGAGGGUUGUUUGGUUCAACAUAUUUUACCUCACAAAAUAAAUGAGCGUAUGAUUGAUAACAGAGACCAAGCCAGUACUGGCAACUUCUUUACCAAUGUCAUUGCAGUUACUUUCUGAUGUGGGCAUUUGCAUAUCAAAUUAGGAAUUUGUAAAGGUGAAAGUGCCUGUGGAGUACAGUUAAGAUGCUUUUGAACAGGAUUGUUCUGUUGAAUGCUUCCUGAUCUCUCAGACAUAUAAGUAAUUUACAAAUUCCCUUGCACGCUUGGCUUAAUACAGAAUGACCCUGUGAACAGACUGCUGGAAAAACCUGCAGAUAAAAGAACCUUCUGAUUUCUCUGUAUUAGUGCUGUAGCCAAGAGGUCAGUAAUGGCUACACUUGCUCUCACUUUUCUGUGAUCCAGUUCUUUGCUGUACAGCUUCUGUUGAGCGUAUGAAAGACAAGGUUGUUGACCCACAGAUGGUAACUAGAAGAGCAGGUUACCAUAGGUAAAGAUGUUGGCUUAUUUUGUGACUGUGCUGCUGGCAAGAGGUUGUUCUAUCAGGGAAGCAACUGAGUUACUUCCCCAUUUUUCCCUUCAGACCAGUUGAAGAGAGUUUAGCUCAUCUGUGGGAGCAAUGAACACAGGUACAAUUCAUAGAGCCAUUUAAGUUGGAAAAGACCUUCAAGAUCAUCAGUCCCAACCAUCAGCCUGACCUACAGAGUCCUACCACUAAACUGUAUCUCUUAGUGCCAUACCUACACAUCUCUUAAAUAUCUUCCAGGAUGGGGACUCUACCAUUUCCCUGGGCAGCGCACUCCAACACUUAGCCACCUCUCUCUAGAUUAGACAGUAGGAGGAAAUUUUUACUCAGAAGGUGGUGAGGUACUGGAACAAAUUGCCCAGAGAAGCCCUGGAUGCCCCAUCCCUGGAGGUGCUCAAGACCAGUUUGGAUGGGGCCCUGAGCAUUCUGAGCUGAUAGAUCACAGCCCUGCCCACAGCAUGGGGGGACAGGUCUAGGUGAGGUCCUUUAUGGUUCUUUCCAAUUCAAGCCAGUCUGUGUUUCCCUACAUGAGGAAAUUCUUUCUGAUAUCCAGUCUAAACUUCCCCUGGCACAUCUUGAGCAUGUCUCCUUGUGUCUUAUCUCUCAUCACCAGAGAAGAUAGACCACCA
rnacentral:lncRNA from 1 species